CAGGUCUUUGUGGGUGGCUCAAAUUCACUCGUGUGAAUGGUUGACCAAUUAGGCAGUUACACUGUUGUUCGAUAAUAUUCAAUUGUUCAAACACUUGCAGUGUGUUCUUUCCUUUCUCAUUCGUAUUCUUCUUUUCUUUCUCUCUCUCUCUCUCUACCAUCGGUGGAGGAGAAAGGUGUGGGCCAGUGGGGUCCCUUGCCCCCACUAAGAUUUGAAAAAAAAAUCUCAAUUACCUUUUUUUCUUUUUCUUUUUUUUUUUUUUUUACUUUUUAUGUUAAAUAUUAUUAUAUUUUGUGUUUGAAAGAAUUUUUUUGCAGUUAAAGUAGGCCCCCCCACUGGAUCCAAGUCCUGGCUGCACCACUGUCUACCAUAACUCUUCUUGUUCUGCAAUUUCAGAAUUUAUACAUCUUUAUUCUUUUUUUUUUUUUUUUUUUUUUAAUAAAAAUAAAAUAACCGUCGAGUAGGGUAGACAACCUCGCAUGAGUGAUUAAUUCAAACAAGUCGACACAUGACACACAUUUUUUUUUUGAUACCCAGGUGUCCCAAUUUCGCCAGACUAAAUCCUGGACCCCUAGCCACCGGCCCCUCAGUAACUAGCGGAGGUAAACCGCAGGAUGUGCCCUUGUUGGAUCACAGAUUCCCACCCGAUUUUUACUCCUGACCUCAAGAGAGCUUUCCUCCAUAGUGAUUGAUCGACCAACAAUGUUGCCCAUUUGUUGGAUCACAGGUUCCCACCAGGAAUCAAACUCUCCAUACAUCUCCAUUUAUACAUCUUUAUUCUCAUCAUACAUUAGAGUGUUUCAGCCAUAUUUCUUUUCAAAAGUAUAAUCAGCAUAAAAUGCCACUCAAAAACUCACUAAAACCGCUUAUGUCCUUGAGAAAAUUGUCCUUAACCAUAUUAACCAAUCCCAUGAAAUACCUCUUCCUUUUAUGAUUAUAAUUGUGAGCUGCCACAUUUAAAUGGACAAAAAUAAGGAAACAAAUACUGUGGCCAAAUUCUAAGACCAAAUAUCACUAUAGCAGAUCCCAGACCGAUAUUUCCCUUCCCCUAAGAGAUUCUUCAAAGCUUUAGUUGAUAUUUUCUUCUCCGCAACUACAAAAAGCAGCCCAUGAUUACCUCUAUCUCUCAUUGGAAGCUAGAAACUUCGUUGAAUAGAUUAAAAUUACCAAAUAUCACAGACAUGGACUCUUAGAUCUCUCCACUUCUCAAACAAUUUAUUGCCAAUAAGAUAAAUAAUGUCACCGAUUUCAAAUAUAUGUAUUGAACAAUCCCGGAAAUCAACAUUUUCUCUUUUUUCAGCUGACAGUUCUAGCUGA
rnacentral:lncRNA from 1 species